rnacentral:lncRNA from 1 species
AAGAACCACCACAUGCUUCUAUUAGAAUUUACUUUCAAUUAAUAAGACAUUAUAUAUUACUUUUAGAAGUAAGAAUACUAUCCACUCUUCCAAAGAUUACAUAUCCUUAGGAAAAAAAUAGAUAGAAGGAAGAUAUAAAAAUAAUGUCUUCUAAAGUCAAUAAAGGUUUGAAGAUAAACUUGGUCAACAAAUCAAGAUGGUACAAGAGUAAAUGACUAUAUUAAUUAAAAUACCAAAACUCCAAUCAAGCACCACCAUCUAUAGAAUCAAAUAAAUAUUCUUUAAGAUUAUGGUGUAUUCAACAUAGCGA